GAGCUUAGUUCAUUAUUGUGUUUUGUUUGGGUCUCUGAAGCCAUGUAGUAUAAAAUAAUAGAGCACAAAACAGACAGUUAAUUGGAAAACCAAGCCUAUAUUUAGCCUCAGCCAGUAACUUAUUUUGUGUCAUUUGAGAAAUUCAGUUAACCUCUUUGGGCCUCAAAAUGAGGGGCUGAGCUAGAUGAAUCCUGGGGUUCUUCACACAUCAGUGUUUACGUUUAUGACUGAACAAAGCAGCAACUGUGAAAAUAGAAUUUCUGAAGAAAAAAUAGGAAACACCUUACUCUAGACUCACUCUAGAGAAAAUAAAAUGGUUAUGAUGAAGAUACAGACCAAGUAUUCUCUCAUUUCAUAAAAAUGAAGAGUAAAAAUGAGUUUUAAAAAGGGGAAAAUUACUUGGAAGAAAAGAUCUAAUUUUGAAGGUGUUUAAAUACAGAAACAGAGUACAAAGCAACCCUAAAUGACUUAUUCCUUGGAUAUCUUUUAAACUUCUGAAGACAAAGGAACUCUGGGGGGUGGCCUGCCUGCUGUGUCUUCAUCUGUUGAAAAUCAGCUGAAAUCUGGAAUCCAGAUGAAAGGCAAGAUGGGAAGCUCCACAAAAGACACCUAGGAAAAAAAAAAAUCCUCCUUCCUGAUCAUAAGCUUUCACUUACUGACAAGAAGAAAGCCUGCCUGCUGAUGUCAGCAAAGCAACACUGGCCUCUGCUCCCACACUGUUCUGAGAUAUCGGAUCCAGGUCCUCUAUAUAAAAGUAAGUGGAACAGCCAAAGGAUUGUGUUUUACCUUAUAGAACCUUCCAUUUGAUUUCAAAGUCUGGAAGUAGGGCUUCCUUGAGCUUGGGAAAUUGUCGUGUGUGUGUUUUGUAAAGUAGCUAUCAGAAAAAAGCACUGCCGAUCAUUGAAGUUUAUUGGGUGUCCAAAAAAAGACUCAUUGCUGACAAGUACUCCAGGCAGCCAACUUCUUUUUUUUUUUUUUUUUUUUUUUUUUUUUUUUGGUGCACAGAUGACAUUAAACAGCCCCUGGACAUUCAGCACAUGAAGUGAAUUCAGAGUGAAGUUAGUUUGGGGAACACGUCUCAUAAACAUAUUUAUUAUUUAUGUAGUUUACAUAAAGUGAUUUCCCUGCCUUUAAACACCAUCUCGGAUGCAUGUGUAUAACAUAUAUGUGGCAAUUCAUCAUCUAUUCCCUUAGGAUAUCUUUGUAAUUGCUACCUUAGAC
rnacentral:lncRNA from 9 species